UCCCCACCCGCCCCGUCGCUACUACCGAUUGAAUGGCUCAGUGAGGCUUCCGGACUGGCUCGGGGAGGUCGGCAACGACCACCCUGGGCCGGAAAGCUAUCCAAACUCGGUCAUUUAGAGGAAGUAAAAGUCGUAACAAGGUCUCCGUUGGUGAACCAGCGGAGGGAUCAUUACUGUGGCCUGCGCUCCGCGCUCGCUCAACCCUCCUGUGGAAAUUUUAAAACGUUUGCCUCGGCGGGCCAGGCCCGCCGCCGGCACCAAAACAACUCUUGCACACUGAAUUCUGAGUGGGCGUAGACCUAAUAAGUCAAAACUUUCAGCAACGGAUCUCUUGGCUCUGGCAUCGAUGAAGAACGCAGCGAAAUGCGAUAAUUAGUGGGAAUUGCAGAACUCAGUGAAUCAUCGAAUCUUUGAACGCACAUUGCGCCCGCCGGCAUCCCGGCGGGCAUGCCUGUCCGAGCGUCAUAUCAACCCCUCGGGCCACCUGUCCACCAUGCGUGGACGGGGUCGGCCCGGCGUUGGGGCACCGCGGGCUGGUUUCCUCCAGCCCGCAGGGCCCCCAAAUCCAGCGGCGGACGCCUCCUGGCCACCCAGCGCAGUAUAAUCGCUAUCGCUGAGGUGCACGGGGGGCUGCCCUGCCUACCGCCUAGCGGCACACACAACGUUUGACCUCGGAUCAGGUAGGACUACCCGCUGAACUUAAGCAUAUCAAUAAGCGGAGGAAAAGAAACCAACAGGGAUUGCCCCAGUAACGGCGAGUGAAGCGGCAACAGCUCAAAUUUGAAAUCCGGCCUUGCGGCCCGAGUUGUAAUUUGCAGAGGAUGCUUCUGGCGACGUGCCCUCCGAGUCCCCUGGAACGGGGCGCCGGAGAGGGUGAGAGCCCCGUACGGUGGGACACCUAGCCUAUGUGAAGCUCCUUCGACGAGUCGAGUAGUUUGGGGAUGCUGCUCUAAGCGGGAGGUAAAUUCCUUCUAAAGCUAAAUACCGGCCAGAGACCGAUAGCGCACAGUAGAGGAUCGAAAGAUGAAAGCACUUUGGAAGAGGGUAAACAGUACGUGAAAUGCUGAAAGG
rnacentral:rRNA from 1 species